rnacentral:rRNA from 1 species
UACGUAGGGUGCAAGCGUUGUCCGGAAUUAUUGGGCGUAAAGAGCUCGUAGGCGGUUUGUCGCGUCUGCUGUGAAAAUCCAGGGCUUAACCCUGGACCUGCAGUGGGUACGGGCAGACUAGAGUGCGGUAGGGGAGAUCGGAAUUCCAGGUGUAGCGGUGAAAUGCGUAGAUAUCUGGAGGAAUACCGGUGGCGAAGGCGGCAUCCUGGACCGACAUUGACGCUGAUGAGCGAAAAGGCGUGGGGGAGCGAAACAGG